rnacentral:lncRNA from 1 species
GCCCUACACAGACUCCCCUUUCUAAUUUCUAAUUGGAGUCAGAGAAACAAAACUAACUUGUCUCAAUGAUUUGUGACAUCUGAGGCAUUCCUGUCCUCUGGGUUGUGACAAUGUAGAAUGGUAGUUCAAAUAAAAGCUCUAUAUUUUUUCAAGAGUUAAAGAUCCUAAAAUUAGGAGCACUCUCAUUAUUCCUAAUUUUCUUAAUUUCCAUGACACACCUCUCCCCUGGCUUUCUCUGUCCUACUCCCCUGGACACACUUUGGACCCGUAUAUCAUCUUACUCUACCCUAUCUACUCCUGUACUCCCAGGAUCUCUUUUGUAAAUUUACAUCAUCGCUUCCACGUGUCCAAACUUCCAGGAACGAUCUGAUGGAGAGUCCUACGAAACCUAGGAUGCUGCUGCUGACUGUGAUUUCAAAGGGUGAUUCUAAUAGACUACCGCAUGCACAUGUCUCAAACCGAAUGGCUGACUUUUCUCUCGAAGCUUGUUAAUCGGGCCUACUCCAUGUCAUGACAGAUACUGUCUUCCAUCAUGUUGCUCAGAACAAAACGUAUCUGAUCAAGGUGUCGAGAGCUGCAGGAGCUGCCGCCCCCCUUCCUCCCUACCUCAAGCCUUUCUGUUCUGCGGGGCCCACUUGGCCUGGCCGUGCUGGUCGUCCCUCUGUUCUUGGGCUGCAUCAGACUCUCUCCCUGCUCAGCACCUUCGCCCUGUUCUUCCCUUUGCCCUCCCCCGGAUCUGCACCUGGCCAGCUCUCACCUACUACCUACUACUGCAGGACCAGUACUACCUCCUCAAAAUGGACCUCCAUGAAGGUAAAACUCAUUUUCUUAUCAUUCUCUAUUCCCUUGCCCUGUGUGUGGUCUUCAGAGCACACAUUGCUCUCUGAAAUAAACUGGUACGUUGCUCUAGCAUCUCUCUCUUCAAACUGGUAGGAGAGAAGGAGUCUUGUCUUUUCCAUGCUGUAUGCUAGGGCUUAGAACUGUGUUUGGUUCCAGCUCAGUGGCAACAAGUAUUUGUUGACAAAGCAAAUAAAGGGUCGAAUAAAGGAAUAACCAACUCCUCUGCCCAUAAUUUUGGUUUUCCUAAGGCAGACAAACUUGAGAAAUAAUAUCCUCUUCUGUG